UUUGCUGGCAACAACAGUACCGAUUCUGAUAAUGCUCCUCCACGCACAUAUCUGUAGAGCUGUGUCGCCUGUGAGGAGCAACUCCUCCACAAGUGGGUGCUGCAAUGGCGACCAAGAGGAGUGGCUGGUUGGGGACAUAGCCCCGGAGGAGGAGUUUUUGAUGGGUUCUGAAACAAACAGGAGGUUGCAGGCUUCCAAUCAUGUCACUGACGGCUCCAAACAUCCCAAGAAACCUGCUGUGCCUUGUAGACCUCUUAAACGCUAUGUAACUUGCUUCCCCACGAAAAACCCAAAAGUUCGUAAAUUCAGACAAAAUUGUGCCAUGUACACGCGUGGCUGCUCUCAUUGAUCUCGCCUAUCCCUCAUUUUUAUCGUCUCAUUUGGUGUUCAAUAGUGUAUGGCCCAUGAAAUAAAACUCCCUUGGCAGGAAGUGUAUGUUAACAAAAUUAUUUGCUUCUACCAUUAUUUGUGGUCCUCCGUCUAGAACUUAUUCAACGCUUGUAACCUCUCUUUCUCGUUGUUCGAAUUCUAUGUUAUAUAUGUUGUGUUCUUUUGGAUUGAAUAAUUCACUCUUACCAGCAAAAUGUCCACUUGAAGGUGUGUCGCCUAAUUAUACUGUUAGUGCUUGUCUUGGCAAUUUUGGUUCAAAAAUCCUAUUCGGCAUGAUUAACUCGGUGUCAUGCUCCUUUCUCGGGCCGCUUGCUUUUCCAAACUUGAUCCAGGUGGGGGAACAUAAGCAUGUUUUGGAUUGAUUUCAUCCAAUUAUUCCCAAGAGGCCUGACACAGGAGUACUCGAGGUCUUUAGAGGUGGUUGAUCAAUCUACUUAUGGAUGAUAGCAAUCAACGCCCUAACAGAACUGUCAACUCCUGAUUGAUUUUCUGAUAAUUGCCUAAGAUCAAUUGGCCGCCCCUUCUUGUAGUGCUAUCAAGCACUUGUAAUUCUUUGUCUUUGCCGGACUAGUCCAUGCUCAAAUCUUCACAUCUGUGGUUCAAUUUGAACCGUGGAAAAGGAUGUUUAUGUAUCUCAUUGCUAUUCUCGGUGAAAAUUUACCAUAGUAUCCAUGCUUAUGUAAGGAAAACCAUAAAAUGGGGAAAUUUGUUUGAAAUUUGAUCUCUUAGUUUGACGUGUAUGUCUCUUUCUUAUUCCCCAAUUUCAAAUUUGAUCACCAUGGGGGCUUCAAAAUCCCUUCCCAUGUGGCAAUAAGACAUCAUUUGCAAAAUCCAUCCCGUAUAGCACAAUAAAUACAAUUAGACAACCACCGUCGUUUUAUUAAUCAAUAGAAUAAAACCUUAGAGGCUAAACACUUUUUUAUUUGAGAUUGUCUUUUUAUUUUGACUUUUAAAAACUUUUGUACAAGAGUAAAUUGUAACACCCCUUUAAACCCUAAUGAAUAUUGUCUUUAAUAAAUAUACGAGGAAACUUUUACAUUCGAUUAAAUAACCAAUAAAUACACACAAAUGAUGUGACAUGAGAUACAAAUGAAUAUCAAGGAAUAAUGAACAAAAGAAUGAAAAUAUAAAUAAUUUGAAUGAAAGUAAAUUAAAUUCAUUUCUAUUUUCUUCCUUGUCAAAAAUAUAUACAAACAAAAAAACCUCAGUUAUUUAUAAUGACUUAUUCUCAAAAUGGUCUCACAAAAAUUCAAUUAUUUAUUGGAAGGGAAGUUUAGAAAAGGAAUUUUAUUUUCAUAAAAUGUAAUUACAAAGAAUCUCACUCCCUUAAAAUACAUUAUGAAUCGUAAUUUUAAUCAUUUUCCAAAAAUUAACUAAUCACUAUUUUCAAAUUAUUUCAACAAAUUUAUUAUUCAAAAAAAAAAUUAUACCAAAUUUAUUUUUGGAAUAGUACUCCAACUGAAAAUUACUUAUGCCUAAAUUAUUUCCAAAACAAACUUUACCCAGCUAUCACUUCAUCCCUAAAUUGAAUUUUAAAUAAAUUUCCAUCAUUUAACAAAGAUAUCAAAAGAGUCUAUUGAUCCUAACUUCUUUUCAACAUAAUCCUAUCAAAUUUUCCUUCUUAAAACAUUUACAAAAUUAAUUUAAUUCCUAAUUUUCCUAGAAAAAAUCCCAAUUAUUAUUAAAAAUACCACAAAAAUAAAAAUUAGUCCUAAUUUAUUUGUACAAAAUUCUAAAGAAGAUACCCAUUUUAUUUCUACCACAUUUUCAC
rnacentral:lncRNA from 1 species